UACGGGGGGGGCAAGCGUUGUUCGGAAUUAUUGGGCGUAAAGGGCGCGCAGGCGGCUGGGCAAGUGGGUGGUGAAAGCCCCGGGCUCAACCCGGGGUUGGCCACCGAGACUGCUCGGCUGGAGUGUGGGAGAGGAGGGUGGAAUUCCUGGUGUAGCGGUGAAAUGCGUAGAGAUCAGGAGGAACACCGGUGGCGAAGGCGGCUCUCUGGACCACAACUGACGCUGAGGCGCGAAAGCUAGGGGAGCAAACAGG
rnacentral:rRNA from 1 species